rnacentral:rRNA from 1 species
UAGACUAGGAUUAGAUACCCUAUUAUUUAAAAUGUAAAUUUAAUUGGCUUGAGUAGUAUUAGUUAUGUUCUUGAAACUCAAAGAAUUUGGCGGUAUUUUAGUCUUUUCAGAGGAAUCUGUUCCGUAAAUGAUAAUACACGAUUUACUUUACCAUAUUUUUGUAACAUCAGUAUGUAUACCGCCGUCAUCAGUUUAUCUUAUAAGAGUUAAGAAUUUUCUUUAAUUUUAAUUGGAAUUUAUGUCAGGUCAAGGUGCAGCUUAUAUUAUGGUGGAAAUGGAUUACAAUAAUUUUAUUUAUAUGGAUUAUUAUAUGAAAAAUGAUAUGAAGGUGGAUUUGUAAGUAAUUUUAUUUAAAUUUAUUAAAUUGAUUUUGGCUCUAAAAUAUGUACACAUCGCCGGUUCACUCUCA